rnacentral:rRNA from 1 species
GAUGAACGCUAGCUACAGGCUUAACACAUGCAAGUCGAGGGGCAGCGGGAUUGAAGCUUGCUUCAAUUGCCGGCGACCGGCGCACGGGUGAGUAACGCGUAUCCAACCUUCCGUACACUCAGGGAUAGCCUUUCGAAAGAAAGAUUAAUACCUGAUGGUAUCUUAAGCACACAUGUAAUUAAGAUUAAAGAUUUAUCGGUGUACGAUGGGGAUGCGUUCCAUUAGGUAGUAGGCGGGGUAACGGCCCACCUAGCCAACGAUGGAUAGGGGUUCUGAGAGGAAGGUCCCCCACAUUGGAACUGAGACACGGUCCAAACUCCUACGGGAGGCAGCAGUGAGGAAUAUUGGUCAAUGGGCGAGAGCCUGAACCAGCCAAGUAGCGUGAAGGAUGACUGCCCUAUGGGUUGUAAACUUCUUUAUAAGGGAUAAAGUGAGUCUCGUGAGACUUUUUGCAUGUACCUUAUGAAUAAGGACCGGCUAAUUCCGUGCCAGCAGCCGCGGU